rnacentral:rRNA from 1 species
AUACGGAGGAUGCAAGCGUUAUCCGGAUUUAUUGGGUUUAAAGGGUGCGUAGGCGGAUGAUUAAGCGUGAGGUGAAAGGACGGGGCCCAACCCCGGAACUGCUUUGGAAACUGUUUGGCUGGAGUGCGGGAGGGGUAAGCGGAAUUCCUAGUGUAGCGGUGAAAUGCGUAGAUAUUAGGAGGAACACCGGUGGCGAAGGCGGCUUACUGGCCGGUAACUGACGUUGAGUCUCGAAGGCGGGGGGAGAAAACAGGAUUAGAUACCCGGGUAGUCCACGCGGUAAACGAUGAUCACUAGGUGUCCGUGGGUAUGACCCAUGGGUGCCGCAGCCAACGCAAUAAGUGAUCCACCUGGGGAGUACGUUCGCAAGAAUGAAACUCAAAUGAAUUGACGGGG